CCAAACUAAGAAGCUUGCUUCUUAGGGUUGUAGGACUGAACAUCUGAGUUACCAAGAAAUGAAGUAGUUGAAUAAUCUGGGAAGAUUAGCCAAAGAGAGUGAUAGCCUCGUAAACGAAACUUCGUUUCCUCAGUUCAGGAUCCUGAGUACGGCGGAACACGUGAAACUCCGUCGGAAUCCGGGAGGACCAUCUCCCAAGGCUAAAUACUACCUAGUGACCGAUAGUGAACCAGUACCGUGAGGGAAAGGUGAAAAGCACCCCGGGAGGGGAGUGAAAUAGUUCCUGAAACCAUAUGCCUACAAGUAGUCAGAGCUCGUUAAUGAGUGAUGGCGUGCCUUUUGUAGAAUGAACCGGCGAGUUACGUUAGCGUGCGAGGUUAAGGAGGAAAGUCCGGAGCCGUAGCGAAAGCGAGUCUGAAUAGGGCGAGAUAGUACGUUGACGUAGACCCGAAACCAGGUGACCUACCCAUGUCCAGGUUGAAGGUGCGGUAAAACGCACUGGAGGACCGAACCCGUGUAUGUUGAAAAAUGCUGGGAUGAGGUGUGGGUAGAGGUGAAAUUCCAAACGAACUUGGAGAUAGCUGGUUCUCUCCGAAAUAGCUUUAGGGCUAGCCUCGGAGUUAAGAAUCGUGGAGGUAGAGCACUGUUUGGACUAGGGGCCCGUCUUGGGUUACUGAAUUCAGAUAAACUCCGAAUGCCACAGAUUUAUAUCCGGGAGUCAGACUGCGAGUGAUAAGAUCCGUAGUCGAAAGGGAAACAGCCCAGACCACCGAUUAAGGUCCCAAAAUAUGUGUUAAGUGGAAAAGGAUGUGGAAUUGCAUAGACAACUAGGAUGUUGGCUUAGAAGCAGCCACCAUUUAAAGAGUGCGUAAUAGCUCACUAGUCGAGUGAUCCUGCGCCGAAAAUGUAACGGGGCUAAACACAUUACCGAAAUCGUGGAUGUACCGUAAGGAACAUGGUAGGAGAGCGUUCUAAGGACGGCGAAGCUAGACCGUAAGGACUGGUGGAGUGCUUAGAAGUGAGAAUGCCGGUAUGAGUAGCGAAAGAUCAGUGAGAAUCUGGUCCACCGUAUGACUAAGGUUUCCUGGGGAAGGCUCGUCCUCCCAGGGUUAGUCGGGACCUAAGCCGAGGCCGAGAGGCGUAGGCGAUGGAUAACAGGUUGAGAUUCCUGUACUGGUUAAACUUGUUUGAACAAUGGAGGGACGCAGGAGGCUAUCGAUGCGUACUGUUGGAUAUGUACGUUCAAGCAAUAAGUCUGUAGAUGAGUCAAAUGCUUAUCUACUUAAGGACAAGUUGUGAUGAGGAGC
rnacentral:rRNA from 2 species